rnacentral:rRNA from 1 species
UCGACCGGCCACACUGGGACUGAGACACGGGCCCAGACUCCUACGGAGGCAGCAGUGGGGAAUAUGGCACAAUGGGCGAAAGCUGAUGCAGCGACGCCGCGUGAGGGAUGAAGGCUUUCGGGUGUAAACCUCUUUCAGCAGGGAAGAAGCGCAAGUGACGGUACCUGCAGAAGAAGCGCCGGCUAACUACGUGCCAGCAGCCGCGGUAAUACGUAGGGCGCAAGCGUUGUCCGGAAUUAUUGGGCGUAAAGAGCUCGUAGGCGGUUUGUCGCGUCUGGUGUGAAAACUCGAGGCUCAACCUCGAGCUUGCAUCGGGUACGGGCAGACUAGAGUGCGGUAGGGGAGACUGGAAUUCCUGGUGUAGCGGUGGAAUGCGCAGAUAUCAGGAGGAACACCGAUGGCGAAGGCAGGUCUCUGGGCCGCAACUGACGCUGAGGAGCGAAAGCAUGGGGAGCGAACAGGAUUAGAUACCCUGGUAGUCCAUGCCGUAAACGUUGGGCACUAGGUGUGGGGCUCAUUCCACGAGUUCCGUGCCGCAGCAAACGCAUUAAGUGCCCCGCCUGGGGAGUACGGCCGCAAGGCUAAAACUCAAAGGAAUUGACGGGGGCCCGCACAAGCGGCGGAGCAUGCGGAUUAAUUUGAUGCAACGCGAAGAACCUUACCAAGGCUUGACAUGCACGGGAAGCCACCAGAGAUGGUGGUCUCUUUGGACACUCGUGCACAGGUGGUGCAUGGUUGUCGUCAGCUCGUGUCGUGAGAUGUUGGGUUAAGUCCCGCAACGAGCGCAACCCUCGUCCCAUGUUGCCAGCGGGUUAUGCCGGGGACUCAUGGGAGACUGCCGGGGUCAACUCGGAGGAAGGUGGGGAUGACGUCAAAUCAUCAUGCCCCUUAUGUCUUGGGCUUCACGCAUGCUACAAUGGCCGGUACAAAGGGCUGCGAUACCGUAAGGUGGAGCGAAUCCCAAAAAGCCGGUCUCAGUUCGGAUUGGGGUCUGCAACUCGACCCCAUGAAGUCGGAGUCGCUAGUAAUCGCAGAUCAGCAACGCUGCGGUGAAUACGUUCCCGGGCCUUGUACACACCGCCCGUCAAGUCACGAAAGUCGGUAACACCCGAAGCCCAUGGCCCAACCGUUAGAGGAGGUAGCCACUCUAC